rnacentral:rRNA from 1 species
CCUACGGGUGGCUGCAGUGGGGAAUAUUGCGCAAUGGGCGAAAGCCUGACGCAGCAACGCCGCGUGAGUGAUGAAGGCCUUCGGGUUGUAAAGCUCUUUCGGCCGGGAAGAAGGGUUUCGGGGCGAACAGUCCCGGGAUCUGAUGGUACCGGAAGAAGAAGCACCGGCUAACUUCGUGCCAGCAGCCGCGGUAAUACGAAGGGUGCGAGCGUUGUUCGGAAUUAUUGGGCGUAAAGGGUUCGCAGGCGGGAACUUAAGUCAGGUGUGAAAUCCCC